rnacentral:rRNA from 1 species
AACGCGAAGAACCUUACCCAGGCUUGACAUCUAGAGGAAGACUGCAGAGAUGCAGUUGCCGGGGCAACCCGGCCUUUAGACAGGUGCUGCAUGGUUGUCGUCAGCUCGUGCCGUGAGGUGUUAGGUUAAGUCCUGCAACGAGCGCAACCCUCAUCCUUAGUUGCCAGCGGGUUAUGCCGGGCACUCUAUGGAAACUGCCGCUGAUAAGGCGGAGGAAGGUGGGGAUGACGUCAAAUCAGCAUGGCCCUUACGUCUGGGGCUACACACGUGCUACAAUGGGGGGUACAACGGGACGCGAAGGAGCAAUCUGGAGCAAAUCCCAAAAAACCCUCCUCAGUUCGGAUCGUAGGCUGCAACCCGCCUACGUGAAGUCGGAAUCGCUAGUAACCGUAGAUCAGCAGUGCUGCGGUGAAUACGUUCCCGGGCCUUGUACACACCGCUCGUC